GUCAUGUGCUGCACACCCAGGCUGGAACAGCCUGUCUCCAGGAGAAAACGAAUACAGCAGGGAUGACUUCCACCAGCUCCACUUUGCAGCUCUGAGGUGUAUUAAAAAUAAACCUAGAGCCCCACCAAAUGAAUCCGCUGGCACGUGGACCUCAGAUGGGGGAAACUGAGGACUGAAUUCUGACCACCCUCCUUUGUUCUAAAUUUCUUCCUGAAGGACCUGGAAGAAGUCAUGCCACGGGCCAGACCUUAACAUUCCUUUCGGCUUACCCCAGGAUUUCAGACAAAGCUUCACUUUCCUAACCAGUCACAAAUCAGAGAAUUUUUGAUUCCACCUAUGACCUGUGAGCUCCUGCUUCAAGAUAUUCCACCUUUUUUAGGCCAAACCAAUGUAUAACCUCCAAGUGUCGAUUUACACUUUCGACUGUAACUUCUGCUUUCCUGAGAUUUACCCCUGCCUUUAAAAACCCUUGCUUGUAAUCCCUCAGGGAGGCCGUGUAUUUAUUAAUCAUGAGCUGCCCAAUUCUCCUUGCUUGGUGCCCUGCAAAUAAACACCCUCUUUUCUCCCACUGC
rnacentral:lncRNA from 1 species